rnacentral:lncRNA from 1 species
GGGGAGCUAACUUUUUCAAUCAUUCAGUGCUUCUCUGAUAAAUACUUAUCAUAACAGUAAGACAAACAUCAAUCUUAAAGAAUGCAUAAUAAUUAAUCUCAAAUAAUAACAGUUAAGUGUAAAACAAUUUUACACAACAGAAAUAACAGCAAAACAGGCUUCCACUAGCUGGGGAAGACCUAGAUAAAUUUCUGUCAUGGAUCAAGUGUUAAGAUAGGUUUGUUUAUCUCUAAAUCUCUCGUUAGUUUGGCCUAUAAUUUUUCU